AUUGAACGCUGGCGGCAGGCCUAACACAUGCAAGUCGAGCGAGCGGCGGACGGGUGAGUAAUGUAUGGGGACUGCACGAUAGAGGGGGAUCACUACUGGAAACGGUAGCUAAUACCGCAUACUAUCGGAUAACCCAUAGGGGAUUAGCUAGUAGAUGAGGUAAUGGCCCACCUAGUCGACGAUCCCUAGCUGGUCUGAGAGGAUGAUCAGCAACACUGGGACUUAGACACGGCCCAGACUCCUACGGAGGAAGCAGUGGGGAAGAUUGCGCAAUGGGCGCAAGCCUGAUACAGCCAUGCCGCGGGUAUGAAGAAGGCCCUAGGGUUGUAAAGUACUUUCAGUCGGGAGGCGUUACCGACAGAAGAAGCACCGGCUAACUCCGUGCCAGCCGCCGCGGUAAUAG
rnacentral:rRNA from 1 species